UUACGGGGAAGUCCCCCCUUUACA
rnacentral:tRNA from 1 species